rnacentral:sRNA from 1 species
AAAUAUGAAUGAAACUGAGCUCUGAGCAGCACAUAACCUGGCCUGCAUCCAGGAAAUAGAGGACUUCGGAUCCUUCUAACCCUACCACCCAACUGGCCCCAGUACAUUCAUUCUCUCAGGAAAAAAAACAAGGUCCCCACAGCAAAGAAAAGGGAAUAGGAUAAAGAGAUACGUGGCUGCUGGCAGAGCAAGCAUGAGUUCGAUGGCUUCAGCAGUUCCGGUGGCCAAUUCUGUGUUGGUGUUGGGACCCCACAAUGGUUACCCUGUGACCCCAGGAAUUAUGUCUCAGGUGCCCCUGUAUCCAAACAACCAGCCGCAAGUCCACCUAGUUCCUGGGAACCCACCGAGUUUCGUGUCGAAUGUGAACGGGCAGCCUGUGCAGAAAGCUUUGAAAGAAGGCAAAACCUUGGGGACCAUGAAAAUAAAACAUUUAUUAAAAUUAAAAGGAGGCCCAUAGGGGAGGCAGGACCCAGUCUCAGAAACAAGACUUCAGCUUGUGGCUCUCCUGACAGGCCAUCCAGAUCAUCAUUGGCCUGGCUCACAUCGGCCUCGGCUCCAUCAUGGCGACGGUUCUCGUAGGGGAAUACCUGUCUAUUUCAUUCUACGGAGGCUUUCCCUUCUGGGGAGGCUUGUGGUUUAUCAUUUCAGGAUCUCUCUCCGUGGCAGCAGAAAAUCAGCCAUAUUCUUAUUGCCUGCUGUCUGGCAGUUUGGGCUUGAACAUCGUCAGUGCAAUCUGCUCUGCAGUUGGAGUCAUACUCUUCAUCACAGAUCUAAGUAUUCCCCACCCAUAUGCCUACCCCAACUAUUAUACUUACGCCUGGGGUGUGGUGAGUAUCCCUCUCAACCAAAGAUCCUCUAAGUUCAGAAUUAGCUACAUUUAGAAAACUCCCAGAAAGGGCCUGACAACCAAGCUUCCUCACUGAACACGGUAGGAAAAGGAGGUGCUUUCAGAAUAGGAACAAAUUUUAAAGUCCUUGACCCAUAGCUUUAAGCACAUGACCUUUCUCAGUUUGGGUUUCUGCCUUUGUAAAACAAUACCUACCUUGUGGCAAUGUUGAGAGAAUUAAAUGCAAUUUUACAAAGAAUGCAUAUGUGCCCACCAACCAGCACCUCUCCUCACAUUCUCUGCCUUCUUGCCUAUUACUAUAAGCAAGAGGUUAGCAAACUUAUUCUCUAAAGAGCCAAUAGUAAGCAGUUAAGGUUUUGCAGGCCUACAGUUUCUGUCGUGCAGCUAUAGCUGCCUUAUAGCAGC